UAUCUCUGUAGAGUCUGCAUAUCAAUAAGCGGAGGAAAAGAAACUAACAAGGAUUCCCUUAGUAACGGCGAGUGAAGCGGGAAGAGCUCAAAUUUGAAAUCUUCAAGGUUCUACCUUGACGAAUUGUAGUUUAAAGAAGUGUUUUCUGUUAGAUGAGUAGCAAAAGUUCCUUGGAAUGGGACAUCAUAGAGGGUGAGAAUCCCGUAUUUGGUUAUUCAUUCUAGCUUUGUGAUACACUUUCAAAGAGUCGGAUUGUUUGGGAAUGCAGUCCAAAAUGGGUGGUAAAUUUCAUCUAAAGCUAAAUAUUGGCGAGAGACCGAUAGCGAACAAGUACCGUGAGGGAAAGAUGAAAAGAACUUUGAAAAGAGAGUUAAACAGUACGUGAAAUUGUCAAAAGGGAAGCGUUUGACACCAGUGUUGUUUUUCCGAAAAUCAAUUACGAAUGGCUUGAUUUUGUGUUGUAUUGACCUUAUCAGCUUUCUGCACUUUUUUCGAGUCUUUCUUAAUGCACUUUUCGGUUAACAAGUCAACAUCAAUUUCUUUUGUUGUAAAAGAGUAUUCGGAAGGUGGCUUUCUUUUCGGAGAAAGUGUUUAUAGCCCUAUACUUCUACAAUCGGAGAGAUUGAGGUCUGCAGCGUAGAUCCUUUCGGGGUUAGAUACACUUGUGCUAAGUUGUAGCUUUUCAUAGACAACUUGUUGACUAUGUUUAGUCAUGCGGCUUACUCGCUUAUGCUAUUUUACCUACGCUUAGGAUGUUGACUGAUAUGUAGUCGUA
rnacentral:rRNA from 1 species